AACGAACGCUGGCGGCAUGCCUAACACAUGCAAGUCGAACGAGACCUUCGGGUCUAGUGGCGCACGGGUGCGUAACGCGUGGGAAUCUGCCCUUGGGUUCGGAAUAACAGUUGGAAACGACUGCUCAUACCGGAUGAUGACGUAAGUCCAAAGAUUUAUCGCCCAAGGAUGAGCCCGCGUAGGAUUAGCUAGUUGGUGAGGUAAAGGCUCACCAAGGCGACGAUCCUUAGCUGGUCUGAGAGGAUGAUCAGCCACACUGGGACUGAGACACGGCCCAGACUCCUACGGGAGGCAGCAGUGGGGAAUAUUGGACAAUGGGCGAAAGCCUGAUCCAGCAAUGCCGCGUGAGUGAUGAAGGCCUUAGGGUUGUAAAGCUCUUUUACCCGGGAUGAUAAUGACAGUACCGGGAGAAUAAGCUCCGGCUAACUCCGUG
rnacentral:rRNA from 1 species